UAGGUCUGUUCGUUUGCUCAUUU
rnacentral:snRNA from 1 species